ensembl:misc_RNA 7SK 7SK RNA
GGAUGUGAAGGUGAUCUGUGCAUGACAUGUGUCACCCUGUUGGUCACCAGGAUUGAUUCAGCUGAUAUUGCUAGCUAGUGUGUGUCCCUCUUCCUCUUUCACAGCUCCAGGUGCAUCCCUCAUCCCUCUCAAAGUUGCGUGCAACACUCCAAUUCAGUUGCAGCUCAGUUUAAGAGGACAACCAUCCCAAAAGAGGGUGACUGUUUCCUUGGUCAAGGAUAUACUAGCUGCUGUGCUCCCCUGCCAGAACCUCCAAAUAAGAUCCAAAAAAUAUGCACAAAAAGGUGUAAGAAAUGGGUCAUGGCUGGGUGUUUGUGGUCAACAAUAAGUGUAACAGUAUUUUUCUUUAU